rnacentral:rRNA from 1 species
GACGAAGGUGGCGAGCGUGUUCGGAAUCACUGGGCAUAGAGCGCACGUAGGCGGCGACGUAAGUUGGGUGUGAAAUCCCUCGGCCCAACCGAGGAACUGCGCCCAGUACUGCGUUGCUUGAGGAUCCAAGGGGUGCAUGGAAUUCCCGGUGGAGCGGUGAAAUGCGUUGGAUAUCGGGAGGAACUCCGGCGGCGAAAGCGGUGCACUGGUGGAUUACUGACGCUGAGGUGCGAAAGCCAGGGGAGCAAACGGG